rnacentral:rRNA from 1 species
AGUGAACGCUGGCGGUAGGCCUAACACAUGCAAGUCGAACGGCAGCACAGUAAGAGCUUGCUCUUACGGGUGGCGAGUGGCGGACGGGUGAGGAAUACAUUGGAAUCUACUUUUUCGUGGGGGAUAACGUAGGGAAACUUACGCUAAUACCGCAUACGACCUACGGGUGAAAGCAGGGGAUCUUCGGACCUUGCGCGAUUGAAUGAGCCGAUGUCGGAUUAGCUAGUUGGCGGGGUAAAGGCCCACCAAGGCGACGAUCCGUAGCUGGUCUGAGAGGAUGAUCAGCCACACUGGAACUGAGACACGGUCCAGACUCCUACGGGAGGCAGCAGUGGGGAAUAUUGGACAAUGGGCGCAAGCCUGAUCCAGCCAUACCGCGUGGGUGAAGAAGGCCUUCGGGUUGUAAAGCCCUUUUGUUGGGAAAGAAAAGCAGCAGGUUAAUACCCCGCUGUUCUGACGGUACCCAAAGAAUAAGCACCGGCUAACCUCGUG